rnacentral:rRNA from 1 species
AGCGAACGCUGGCGGCAGGCCUAACACAUGCAAGUCGAGCGCCCAGCAAUGGGAGCGGCAGACGGGAUAGUAACACGUGGGAACGUACCUUUCAGUUCGGAACAACCAAGGGGAACUUUGGCUAAUACCGAAUACGCCCGUAAGGGGAAAGAUUUAUCGCUGAAAGAUCGGCCCGCGUCUGAUUAGCUAGUUGGUGAGGUAAUGGCUCACCAAGGCGACGAUCAGUAGCUGGUCUGAGAGGAUGAUCAGCAUCACUGGGACUGAGACACGGCCCAGACUCCUACGGGAGGUAGCAGUGGGGAAUAUUGGACAAUGGGCGCAAGCCUGAUCCAGCCAUGCCGCGUGAGUGAUGAAGGCCUUAGGGUUGUAAAGCUCUUUCGUCAGGGAAGAUAAUGACGGUACCUGAAGAAGAAGCCCCGGCUAACUUCGUGCCAGCAGCCGCGGUAACAC